rnacentral:rRNA from 1 species
GACGAACGCUGGCGGCGUGCUUAAUACAUGCAAGUCGAACGGAAAGGCCCGGCUUUUGUGGGGUGCUCGAGUGGCGAACGGGUGAGUAACACGUGGGUAACCUGCCCUUGACUUGGGGAUAACUUUUGGAAACGGGGGCUAAUACCGGAUAGGAGCUCCUGUUGCAUGGUGGGGGCUGGAAAGUUUCGGCGGUUGGGGUUGGACGCGGGGCUGAUUAGCUUGUUGGUGGGGUAGGGGUUUCGCAAGGCUUUGACGGGUAGCCGGCCUGGGAGGGUGACCGGCCACAUUGGGACUGAGGUAGGAGCCAGACUGCAACGGGAGGCAGCAGUGGAGAAUAUUGCGCAAUGGGCGGAAGCCUGAUGCAACGACGCCGCGUGCGGAAUGACGGCCUUCGGGGUGUAAACCGCUUUCGCCUGUGACGAAGCGUGAGUGACGGUAAUGGGUAAGAAAGCACCGGCUAACUACGUG